rnacentral:misc_RNA from 1 species
GUGAAUCAUCAAAUCUUUGAACGCACAUUGCGCCUUUUUCGGAAGGCAUGUCUGUUUGGGGGCACCAUUUAACAAAUAAUGUGUAUUUUUGUGUGCACAUGUUGAUGUGCUUUACAAAAUUAUGUAUUAUUUUUGGUGGCGCAUAUUAACCAGCGCGAUGCUUUUUUUCAGUUCGAGUGUAGUAAAAUUUUUUCUUGCUAGGGUUGUGAAAAAGUGUGCUU